GACGAACGCUGGCGGCGUGCUUAACACAUGCAAGUCGAACGGUGACCUCGAGAGCUUGCUCUCGGGCGAUCAGUGGCGAACGGGUGAGUAACACGUGAGUAACCUGCCCCAGACUCUGGAAUAACCCCGGGAAACCGGAGCUAAUACCGGAUACGAGACGGAGUCGCAUGGCUACCGUCUGGAAAGUUUUUCGGUCUGGGAUGGACUCGCGGCCUAUCAGCUAGUUGGUGAGGUAACGGCUCACCAAGGCGACGACGGGUAGCCGGCCUGAGAGGGCGACCGGCCACACUGGGACUGAGACACGGCCCAGACUCCUACGGGAGGCAGCAGUGGGGAAUAUUGCACAAUGGGCGAAAGCCUGAUGCAGCGACGCCGCGUGAGGGAUGACGGCCUUCGGGUUGUAAACCUCUUUCAGCAGGGAAGAAGCGAAAGUGACGGUACCUGCAGAAGAAGCACCGGCUAACUACGUGCCAGCAGCCGCCGUAAUAC
rnacentral:rRNA from 1 species